CACCUCCUGCCCCCACUGUGGCUUCCAUUCUGUUUCUAGUAGAUAGUGUCAAGUCCCCAGUGCUCCCUGGUGAUCUGAGAUGUGGCUCAGUGGUAUUGUGUGUCACCAGCUCUAGUGUAGGGGAUUCUCACCGUGGGCAGUUCACAGCCUGGACUUCUGCUAAGGAGUACUCUUAGCAUUCGGUUCCCAGGCUCUCUGUUGGGUUGCCCUGUGUUUGUGGGUUCUGAGUUUCUAUUUGCCCAAUCCUAUUUAUCCCCCCUUGUCUUUCACAGGCAUCACCCCUAAUUUGAUCUCUACGUCUUCUUGGAGAACCUAGCCUGGCACAGAAGACCUGGCGCCUUGGGCCCAGAGAAACACGGGAAGGCAGCAGGAAGUGACAGUGACACCCUGGGCUGGCUUGAGCUUCUGAAACCUCAAGACCCACCCCCCAGUGACACACUUCCUUCAACAAGCCACACCUCCUAAUAGUGCCACUCCCUAUGGGCCUAUGGGGGCUAUUUCCAUUCAAAUCAUCACAAUGCCCUUGAAUUCCUUACCCUCCUGUGCCUACCUCCCAAGGGCUGGGAUUAAAGUCUGGCUUGCUUUA